GAUGAACGCUGGCGGCGUGCCUAAUACAUGCAAGUCGAACGAGGUGCCUUUGUAGCAAUACGAAGGUAUCCUAGUGGCGAACGGGUGAGUAACGCGUUGGUGACCUGCCCCAAAGUGUGGGAUAACAGAUCGAAAGAUCUGCUAAUACCGCAUGUGGUCUUCGGAUUUAGAAACUGAUGACUAAAGGAGCAAUUCGCUUUGGGAGGGACCUGCGUCCCAUCAGCUAGUUGGUGAGGUAAUGGCUCACCAAGGCUACGACGGGUAGGGGACCUGAGAGGGUGG
rnacentral:rRNA from 1 species